AUUGAACGCUGGCGGCAUGCCUUACACAUGCAAGUCGAACGGCAGCACGGGGCAACCUGGUGGCGAGUGGCGAACGGGUGAGUAAUGCAUCGGAACGUACCUUUCAGUGGGGGAUAACGUAGCGAAAGUUACGCUAAUACCGCAUAUUCUGUGAGCAGGAAAGCAGGGGAUCGCAAGACCUUGCGCUGAUUGAGCGGCCGAUGUCAGAUUAGCUAGUUGGUGAGGUAAAGGCUCACCAAGGCGACGAUCUGUAGCGGGUCUGAAAGGAUGAUCCGCCACACUGGAACUGAGACACGGUCCAGACUCCUACGGGAGGCAGCAGUGGGGAAUUUUGGACAAUGGGGGCAACCCUGAUCCAGCCAUGCCGCGUGAGUGAAGAAAGCCUUCGGGUUGUAAAGCUCUUUCGGCCGGGAAGAAAUCGCACGGGCUAAUACCCUGUGUGGACGACGGUACCGGAAUAAGAAGCACCGGCUAACUACGUGCCAGCCGCCGCAGUAAUAC
rnacentral:rRNA from 1 species